CCUACGGGUGGCAGCAGUGAGGAAUAUUGGUCAAUGGACGAGAGUCUGAACCAGCCAAGUAGCGUGAAGGAUGACUGCCCUAUGGGUUGUAAACUUCUUUUUUAUGGGAAUAAAACGUUCCACGUGUGGGAUUUUGUAUGUACCAUAUGAAUAAGGAUCGGCUAACUCCGUGCCAGCAGCCGCGGUAAUACGGAGGAUCCGAGCGUUAUCCGGAUUUAUUGGGUUUAAAGGGUGCGUAGGUGGAUUGUUAAUGCAGUUGUGAAAGUUUGCGGCUCAACCGUAAAAUUGCAGUUGAAACUGGCAGUCUAGAGUACAGUAGAGGUGGGCGGAAUUCGUGGUGUAGCGGUGAAAUGCUUAGAUAUCACACAGAACUCCGAUUGCGAAGGCAGUUCACUGAACUGCAACUGACACUGAGGCUCGAAAGUGUGGGUAUCAAACAGGAUUAGAUACCCGAGUAGUC
rnacentral:rRNA from 1 species